rnacentral:lncRNA from 1 species
AAUUUGCAUUUCUAACAAGUUUCAAGGUGAUGGGAAGCUUCUGGUCCAGGGACUACACUUUGAGAAGCCCUGGUGUAAAAAGGUACAGACGUGAAAACCAGAGGGGGGACAGCUCCUCCCCAGAGGAGGCACUGGGCAACUUCUCUUGUCCCUGCCUGGCACAGCUGAGGCCUGUGACUGGGGAUUCCGACAGAUCACAGGCGCGGGGCGAAGGAGCUGCUAGAACAAUGCUGAGGCGGGUGAGGUGAGGAGCAGCCCCUCGCGGCAGCCCCGACAGAGUGUCUGGAACAGGUGAUUGGAGGAGCCGGAGACCCAGGCACCUGGGCAUCCUUCCCCUCGCCUCUGCCAGGCCCCGCGCCCCUAAAAGGUGGGAAAACCAUGGCGACCAAUUUCAGUGACAUCGUCAAGCAAGGCUACGUGAAGAUGAAGAGCAGGAAGCUCGGGAUCUACCGGAGGUGCUGGCUGGUGUUCCGGAAAUCCUCCAGCAAGGGGCCCCAGCGGCUGGAGAAGUAUCCAGAUGAGAAGUCGGUGUGCCUCCG